CUCAGAGGGAGUUGGAGUCUCCUAGUCUGUUCCUGGUCAGGCUGUUGUAAAGCCUGUAUAUUGUUGGAAACUGGUGGAGCAGAGUGAACCCUGUUACAAUGCCAUGCAAUGGUAUCUAAGAUAUCAAAGUUUUCUCCUAUACCUAAUCCAGGAUAUAGCAGUGCAUUCCUCAAGUCUUCUAGCAGUUACUUGGAAUUUUGUGAAGCCUUAUGUAUCAGAUUGACAAAGAACAAGCACCUUCUUUGUCUUGGUUGAGUGGGGUGCCAAGCAGGAGUCUCACUGACCUAAACCAUGAAACUUGCACUGCCAGCAACAAGAAACCAGAGUGAGUUGCCUUGGAAACCCAAACACUGAUGAUAAUUUUCUCUGCUGCAAUUUGGAUGCAUCUCACUGGGUAUGUCUAGCUCUUUUCAAUGGAUUGUUCCAACACAGAUCAAGCUGAAUUCUGAUGAAGUUAUCCCCAGAUACAUUUCUUCUGGUCUUAUUUUAGGGCUGAACACAAACUUUUCUUUGUACAUCACUUUCAUCUUCAAACAAACGUGUUUUGCCUUCUCAGAGCAACUCUCAACACCAUCUGGCACAAAGUCACUAUCAUCUAAUACAUUAUCAUCACAUUGAUUCCCUUUCAGAAUUGAAAAUCUUUUUAAUGUGGUCAGAAGCAGAAUAUCAUCCCCAUUUGUUCACCAUCUCAAAUUACACAACACAGAAAAUCACCUCAAGAGUCUCUCAGAGUGUGCAGUAUUUGGAGUACAAUACCUAGACCUAAAGUCCCUCACAGGUGUUAGGCAAAGGCUUCCACCAUCAGUCCACUGCAUGUUGAAGAUCCCUAAUAAGGCCGGAUUUGAAGGGACCAACCUCCCUGGAGUACCUUCUCCUUUAGGGUGACUGUAUGCAGCAACCGCUCUCACUGCAAUGCAUUGUUACUUAGCACAUGCUAACUAUUCUUCUCACUGGAAGCAAAUGUGCACAGAGAACUACUAAAAUAGAGGAUAACAGUGCAACACAUUUAGGGUACAUUUGUACCCCACAUACUCUUGAUUAGAAAAAAUGUUUUUAGUGUUAAAUUAAUUUUUUUCACUGAAUUGUAUUCAUCUGCUUAGGUAACAAAUGUCCUAAAACAACAUACCUGGAGGCCACUAAUUCAUGAAAUAUCACAACAUAUGCUUGUGGGGUACAGCAUUACCCUACAAAUGUAGAUAAGGAAUAUGUAGUUUGAGCCCUCCAGUGGCCCCCAUAAAUGGUCUUCUGUGUUCCAGUAACCACCCUGCCAGACCAAUAGCUAGACCAUUAUGUAACUAGGCCUUGUAUGAUGUACAUAGCUAGUAAACAUGUCUAUUUGACCCCAACUGUGCCCAUGCAGUUCCUUCACAUUAUGCAUGUUGUAUAAAGAGCAAGAGAUAAAAACUGUCAUUGUAGUGGAGGAUGGUAUUCUAAUCUAAGAGCACAGUGAAAUAGAGACUGAUUACUAAGACUUAGUGUUAUU